UUUAAAAGAACCGUGUACUUUUGUUUUUAGGUCAAUUGUGUGGCUUGUUUUUCCCUGACAGAAUACAGUCUGAACGAUAUACAUUCAACUCCAGCUCUGGUGAUGCAGAUUUUGACAGUACGGUCAAAACAUGAGGGGGUAAAAAUGCUCAAAAGAAAAGGAAAGAGACAACUGAAAAGAAAAAUUCACCAGUAUCAGUGACGGAUGGAUGGAUGAAGCUGGCUGCAUGUGUUUCAAUGAUCACAGGAUCUUCUCCUUCCCAGAGGCUAGUGAAGAUUAGAAAGAAAAAAAAAACACACUCGAGAUGAAAUGUUCUCCGAGCUCAUGCUGUCCUCCCGCACUGACAGAGCACAGACGAAUGUGUGGAGGCAAAUAAUGUCAGAGUGCAGGAAAGCACAAAAUGACCGGGAGGAGAGGCGGCGGGCUGAAGAGAGUAAGUGGCGGGCUGAAGACAGGGCUGAAGCUCAAAUGUGGCGGCAGCGUGAUGAGAGGAGGCAGGAUUCAAUGCUGAGGCUGCUGGAGGACCAAACCAGUAUGUUCCAGUGUAUGGUUGAGCUGCAGCAAAGGCAGCUGGAGCAUAGACUGCCACUACAGCCCCUGUGUAACCAAUCGCCCUCCUCCCCAAGUUCCAUAGCCUCCACACCCAGAUGCCCAAGACAAGGUGGGGGGGCCACUGGCCAACCAGCCACUCCGCCACAGAGGAUUGCCCAAAAAAAAAGAAGGCUGUCAUUCAAUAAAUUUUAAAGUUGUAAACUUUUAAAGUGCUGUGUGGCAUUUUCCUUCCCUCCUCCACCACCCCUCCUGGGCUACCUUGGUAGUCAUCCCCCUAUUUGUGUGAUGAAUGAAUAAAGAAUGCAUGAAUGUGAAGCAACAAUGACUUUAUUGCCUCUGCAAGUGGUGAUCGAAGAGAGGAGGGGAGGGUGGUUAGCUUACAGGGAAGUAGAGUGAACCAAGGGGCGGGGGGUUUCAUCAAGGAGAAACAAACAGAACUUUCACACCGUA